GCUGUGGGGGCGCGCAUGCGCGGGGCGGUGCGCAGGCUCUUGCAGGCAGGCCGGGACUGGUUAUACCGAGACCUCGUGGCGCAACGGUAGCGCGUCUGACUCCAGAUCAGAAGGCUGCGUGUUCGAAUCACGUCGGGGUCACGGCUCCCUUCGGGGGUUCCCUUUUACGCCGGGCAAAGCGGGGCCGGUUUCGGGGCGCUACUCUCAAGGACACUGUAGGAAAACAAUUUUAGACGGAGUAAUUUUUCAGAGUUGCUAGAUUUCAACUGCUUUGAUACCAUUGGGAAAUACGCAAUCUUUUCAAUAUACAGAUCAUAGACAGAUGUGACCCCAAAGCGCUCAGGAAAUGUGAGCGGUAUUUGGUCCCAGGGGAUGCCAGAGUACCAUACGCGUGGGCGCUUGUGUUGUACAGACUCGGAGGGAACUUUGGCAACAGGCUUUGAGAGGAUAAACAAAGCUGAACCACCAGUAACUGGAGCACAGCUUUUAAACAAUCCUGGGUGAUGAUGCUUGUCUCUGGUGAUGCUACGUGAAGAGAAGGAUUUUUUUUUCCUUCCAGGUGAAGUUUCUUUCCAAUUGACUUAACUACUGGGUGUUGUGGGAAGUUAUGAUGUCAGAGAGUAGUUGCUAAUACCAAACAGUGGAGUAAGGGAAAGGAUACCCUUCCAGCACCCUCUCUCACUGCUUUAAUUAGCAAUCAGGACUCCAGCUGAUUCUGAGAGAAGACAGAAGUACUGGAGUAACCUUUGAAACAAAAGACUUCAAAGUGACAGCAGCCUGUGCCUCUGGCUAUGCUGAAAUGAGUGGAACGUCUAGCGAUGGAACUGAUGAAGAUGACCGAGGUGAAGCAUGCUUUUCUGAUUCUUUGCCUCCCAGGGGAAUCAGAUCCAGCAGGAAAAGGCCAAAGAAAGAGAGGAGGCAGUCACCAGCUCAGAAGAAUAUGAAGACAGCUGAAGUGGAAAAAAAGAGACAUUGAUGCUGGAAACUGGGAAGAACUGAGCAGAAAUAGCACAGGAAGAGAUCACUCAAAGUUUGAUACCCACACACGCCUGUGAGGAUCGCGAUAUUUGCCAUCUUUGUGUUUGUGAUCUUCGUGCAUAUCAUUAAUGGAGGCUAAUACAACUAGUCUGCUCAUAAACCUCAUUCUGCGAAGAAAAUAAGAGCACUGUCCUGAUGACAUAAGCGGCAUUUAGUGGUGACUACAAAACCAAAGAAUGCACUUCUUUCUCCCUGCUACUUGUGAACAAGCUCUGCAGGCAGUGAAUUAAAAGGCUAGUAGGAGGGUGAAAACAGCCUGUGACUUGUCUUUGUCUGGUGUUCACUAUAUACAGUAGCUCCUAACUCUUGGAAAUGUGACGUGCUAUACUGUUUCUCCUUUGCUGAAGCCGUGUUCGCACAUUUUGUGCCCCAGCUAGAGAGUUUAAUCAGUCGGAGGUGUUGGGAGUUCUGCAUGGCUUGGUUUUUCUGAAGCUGCCUGUGGCUGGAAUUACUGCAUCGUUGAGAACUUACAGCUUCUCUGUGCUCUGGUUAUCUUAUAUCGGAGAAACAGCAGAUAUAAAUUAAGGGAACAAAUUGCUUGCCAAUCUGGCAAGACAGGGAAUUGCUCUAGUGUAAUGCAAGCCAUGAGGGAUCAAAGGAGGAGUUACUAUAUCUUAACCACUUCUGGAAAAACGUUCUUGCCCCUUCAAGUCUAUAAAUGUUACUGAAAAGGGGAGAAUGGUGGAAGUGAGGAUCUCCCAUUGUUGGCCUGCUACUCUUCAUCUGAGGAGGACCUGAUUUUGUGUGCAAUGUUCUCAUAAAUCAUGACACUCAAAUUUAAAUGACUUACGGGUUAAGAUCAAGCUGAGGCCUUUCAGUAUCUUUUCACAGGAGAAAUGCAGAACUUUGAGCCUGGCACGUAAUCUGAAGAAAAGCACUGCAGCACCCUAAAAUUGCUGAAGGCAUUUGAUUUAAAAACUGCUGGUUUUUUCCUGUUGUCUGUGCCAGCUUUGCCAAGAAAGAAAAUUUCAUUUCCCUAGAUUUGACGCUUUGGUUUAAGAGGAAAAUCCUCCCUGCAGACACCCCAGGAUGGGCAGCAGCUGGGGCUGGGAGAUGUCUGGAGAAUGGAAGCUAGAGAAGACAAGCCUUGGUUAGGUGGGUGAGGCAAUCUCAUCUUCCCUCUGCGUCUGCCUUGUUCUUUCUGGGGAUGGUUUUUCUCUGCUGCUGCAGCGAUCUGAGCAGCUCAGGAUCUACUCGUCGCUUCCCUUGGCUUUACUGGCCUUCAGCUACAUGGAACUGUGCUUAAGAUCUUGCAGGUGCAGAAGCAAUUUUGCAGCCAGUCUGUAAGGAGCAGGGGAACAUCUAGGGGAGACACUGGUCAGAGGUGCUUGCCAAGCAGUCACAGUCCAGCCAAGCUCAAAAUGAAUUGCUGCGGAUGGACACGUGGAGGGUUUUGGUGACUCGUCACAAAAGCCUCAUGUGACAGAGCCAAGAAUAGAACUUAAUCCAGGGAGAAUUGGGCAAAAGUAUGUUGUUACAGAUAUGUUUGCCCAUGAAUUUAGCUUUGGGGAUCAGCAAAACAAAGAGAAAAAUUCUGAGAAAUUGGAGUGUUUCAUUAUGGCAACCUUUGAAACAGCAUCUUGACUUCUGAAAGCAUUUAAUUUUCAAACUGGUCUUUUUUUUCUUUUUAAAGCACAAAAUGCUUCGACA